AGCAUCUCUAUUUGACCCAACCUGACCUGAAUUGAGGCAGGUAUAGGAUGGAUGUGAAUAUGGGAUUUUUAAUUAUGGGACAGAUAUGGGUAUUGGUUAACUCGAUCCAUACCUAACUCAUUGUCAUCCUAUCUUAGUAAGGAUAGCAUCGAAGGUCUCAUGAGUAGGAUUGAAGGAGAAGGAAGAUGAGAAGAAGAAGAGGGUAAGGAGGAGAAAGAAAGGGUCACUGAUGAGGAAGGGGUAGAGAUGGAGGGAGUCAUCUAGAGGGG
rnacentral:lncRNA from 1 species